rfam:Citrus sinensis cultivar Ridge Pineapple sweet orange scaffold00009_contig_207, whole genome shotgun sequence.
AUUGCUCACUCUCCCUCAAGGGCUUCUGAACUGGCCUUGUUCACCUUCAAUUAAAGGCCUAGACUGAGGUUCUUGGGGAGAGUAGAUAA